UAACAGUCUCGCAAGCAGUGUAGAGUCGUCUGUGGACACACGGAGAGUUCACCACGCGUCUCCUAUGGCGAAGCGCAUUGGUAGGUAACACAUCUCUCACAAUCAUCGAAACCCAAAAAACACACCUUGAAUGGGGCAUGAAGCUUCCAAAUCCAGGUCCAAGAUGGAUUAUUCCCCCUUCCAUAUCCGUAGCAUCAUUCAACAACCAUUUAUACGCAUAGUACAUGCCCGAUGGAUCUCCAAGCCAAACACAACUAAUGAGUUCCACCACCGCGUCUGGGAGAACAGUAAAGAGAGAAGCAAAGUUCCAACUCCCAUUCCCAAUUUCACUGAUAUGUUCCGACGGGUUCAAGAGUUUUCCGGUAAAUCAGCUCCUCUGGUUCAGUCCAUUGAACUGUGCUGGUUGGAUCGUAGAAGAAGAUGAUGGUACUACUACUGCCUCUCAGUUUCAGAUCUAACUUGUAUUGCUUUCAAGUCUGCUUUUAUUGCUUUAUCUUCAGGAAUUUGGUUACUCCCAAAGUAAAUACAAACUUUUAACACUCAUUUCUGAUAAAAUUAGGAUUGAAAUAUAUAUAGUGCAAAAUUAUAAAAAGAAAACAAAUUGCUUACAUUUUUAACUUCAAGUGUUCUUGUAGAUGCCUGUAUUCUGUUACAAUUCCAAUUGUUGAUUUUUCAGAUAAAUGACAACUUUUGCACUUUAUCCUUGUACCUACUGACAUGUAUGAUAACUUAGGAAAAUCAUGACAAUAACUUAAGCUUUUCCCAUUAGCUGGGUUUGGCUAUAUAAAUUAAACCAAUGUCAUAAUACUUACGAGUGUUUAGCAUUUUCUCUGAUUUUUGGUACUCACUAGUGUUUUUCAUUGAAGAGGAGGCCUCAUUGCUACGGUAAAGGAAUAGAACCAAAAUAGCUUAAUGUGUGGAGUUUUCCAAAAUAACUCAAUGGGUGGUAAUUAAUCAUUGCAAUUUUCCUAAAGCCAUUCAAUAAAUUGUUUCUUUCCUAAAGCCAUUAAUUAAACUAGAUUUUGAUGAAGUUUAAUUAUAGAUUUCCAGCUGGGAAGUAUCAGUUUCAAGACUUUUGGGUUCAGUUUUUCCUUUUUGAUUUGGAUAUUUUCUGGACGAAUUUAUUUGCAUUUGCUUUUGUUUUGCAGAAAAUCAAGAACCCUAACUACAAUGGGCAAUGGAAACCCAAUGGAUAAAUAAUCCAGGUUUGUUCAAGUGUCUCUAUGUAUAUCCAGGUUCUUUGUCUUAUACCUUAUAGAUUUCAGACUUCCCUACGCACUAGUAAAUGCUUAUCUUUCAUUUUCCCUGUAUUAGAGUUCGAAGAUGACCUCGAUCUUUAUGUGCUUAAGGCUAUCAAGUAUGUCAGUUUUGAAGUUUGGCGGAAUAAUGAAUAUAAACUUGAUGAUGAGUUGUAUAAUUUAUUUUAGUCUUCAUAUAUAUAUAUUUUUCAAUUAUGUUUGGGCAAUGAACCGAAUUUGUUCAUUGUGGUCCUCCUCUUCUCAUAGUCAUUCCGAUUACACCCCAUUGAUUUCUCCACUAAGCUUCAGACUCUUUAGGUAUGACACUAUCCUCUUCAGAUUCUAGCUGGUGCCGCCUACCACUGCUUGCAGACGUCACCGAACAGGUUUCCAUCCUCAACUCUACUUUGACGUGGAACGAAGCUGCUUGACCGUUUGCUGAUCUUUCUAAGAAUGGCGUCGCCUUUGAGUGAUUUUGCUCAGGGCCAUUGCCAUUUGAGCAUGAGGUUCAGAAGGGGAGCGCGUUUGGUGUAGGACUUCUUGGCAUCAAGAGUGAGAUCCUUGGGGUGUCCCAGACGAUUAUGAAUGUGAGGCUUUUGACAAUGAUGCACCAGUUCCAAGCAUGUCCUUCUCCAUCGACCUCCUCCUCUCCCUAAAGAAUUCCAUGACUCAGAGGUUGUUUAAGUCAGGUCUAAAGUGAUUGUUGGGAACAAAUGUGGGGUAGGGGUUGGUAAGAAGGCCUGUGUUGCUCUUGAUUGAUUAUAAGAACUGAAAUUCAGACCAAUGAACAUUGUAGAAGCACUUCCAAUAGAUGCAGCACAGUGACCUGUAGGCUGAGAUGUGUAAGAACCUGACUAUAGCAUGGAAAGAGCAGCAGAAGUGCUAGAAUCCAUGGCUGUGGCUGAAACUGGAAGUGGGUGAUUGUGAGUUCCUAGUUCAAUGACUGAGGUCAUGUUCCUAAAGGGAAAUACCCUCUUCCUUGUAUAGAAUAAGAAGCCAAAUGCACAUACCAUCAGAUAUAUAUAUAUGUAAUUCUAGGAUUUCAAUUAUAGAUGCAUCAUUCCUAUCA